GACGAACGCUGGCGGCGUGCCUAAUACAUGCAAGUAGAACGCUGAAGGAGGAGCUUGCUUCUCCGGAUGAGUUGCGAACGGGUGAGUAACGCGUAGGUAACCUGCCUGGUAGCGGGGGAUAACUAUUGGAAACGAUAGCUAAUACCGCAUAACAGUAGAUAUUGCAUGAUAUCUGCUUGAAAGGUGCAAUUGCAUCACUACCAGAUGGACCUGCGUUGUAUUAGCUAGUUGGUGAGGUAACGGCUCACCAAGGCGACGAUACAUAGCCGACCUGCGAAGGUGAACGGCCACACUGGGACUGAGACACGGCCCAGACUUCUACGGGAAGCAGCAGGAGGGGAUCUUCGGCAAAGGACGGAAGGCUGAACGGGCAACGCCGCGGGAGGGAAGAAGGGUUUCGGAUCGGAAAGCUCCGUUGUAAGAGAAGAACGAGUGUGAGAGUGGAAAGUUCACAUUGUGACGGUACCUUAUCAGAAAGGGACGGCUAACUACGUG
rnacentral:rRNA from 1 species